UUCCUCUUUCUUAUGUAGCUCCUUCCUUUUCUUCUAUUUCUUCUUCUUUUUUUCUAUCUAUAUUUCACAUAAUCCUUGUUCAUGAAUUAGAUCAAUAUAAUCUCUCGACUGAACCUAGACCAAGUAUCUCUCUCCUUCUAUUGGUUGGUUAACCUAAACCAAAUAGAUUAGGUCCUUAAUUGGAUUCAAAUUGUGUCUCUCUAUCCUUCCCCUCU
rnacentral:lncRNA from 1 species